rnacentral:lncRNA from 1 species
UCCUGCCCCGCCCCUAGCCUCCUUUGCCCUGUGAUGGGAAAGGUAUUUUGAGGCCUCUUUGCUCUACCUCCUCUAGGGAGGAAAAAGUUAUUCUCGUAAAUUUGUAUUAUGUUUUCUGGGCUUUCACGUUUCUUCAUAUACUAAGCAGUAUAAUUUUAUGAGAAAAUCAAGGGAGGCAUUUUAGAGUAGUAAAUUACCGAAGUGACUCUAGAGAUAGUCAUUUUCCAUUUUAUCAGAUCGUCUUCUUUGUUUAAAAGGGAAGAUUAUAUGCCUUUUCUCAUAGCUUCAGUGUAACUUUUUUUUUUGAAAUUAAAUUGUACUUUUCUAACUGCAUUGCACACUCAGUUCUGCAACAUUAGGUAUAUUAUACUACCCUUAAAAAAAAAAGACUUUUAUUUCAUCUGGAUAAACCAUUCAUCUAAAGUUUUUUACAAGUGAUUUAUUUCCUGCUAAGAGGGAGAAGCCAGGGAUAGAAUACACACCCACUCAGAGAGAACUCACUUCCUUUCUGUU